UUUCCGUAGGUGAACCUGCGGAAGGAUCAUUAUUGAAUGAUACACUUCUGGCUUUAUGCUGUUGUGCUGGCCCUUUGGGCAAUGUGCACACGGCUCUGGUCACUUGUUUCUUCUGUUCCAGCUGUGCACUGCCUGUAGACACGCUGUGUCUAUGAUAUUUGUUAACACACAACAAUGUUAGUUGGCAUGUUAUAUAUAAUAAUAAAAUAUACAACUUUCAACAACGGAUCUCUUGGCUCUC
rnacentral:misc_RNA from 1 species